rnacentral:misc_RNA from 1 species
AGAGAAUGCAAUUUCCUUUUCAAGAUUACAACUGCCACAUAAAUCAUCUUUUGUACAUAUGCAAGACGUGGAUAAUAUUUUUUGGCUACUACUAUCUUUACAGUCCACAGUAUUGCUAGUGUUAAAUAUGCUUAUCCCACCAAUGCUUAUUGGGUCAUUAGCAGUUUUAUUAAUCAAAUUAUAUCCCCCACUAUCCAAGACUAUACCCGUGGCUUCUUUGGCAUAUACCGAGCCACAGUCCUCGAAGCUAGCAAACGUUUUUCUGGCGCUAUCUUUGCUUCUUACGGUGACCCAAGUGUCAUCCCAUGCCCAGUUUGGCACUUUCCCACUGCCUUCGGCCAAUUGACGGAUUCUUUCCAUCGGAGAAAGGGAACAACUUUUAUGGGUCGGUUUCCAUAUCCAAGCUGCCUCUACCUCCUCCCUUGAAUCCCAUAGUCUUUGGUCUAAUGCACUUGUUGGAGUAUCCGUAUCAGUAUCCUUCAAAACAGAGCCGGCGUCCUCUGUAAUAAAAGCAUGUUCAAGUAGCUCAUCAGCUGACCACCUCUCCGUCGGGUCUCUCUUCAAGCACUUGCUCAGAAAAUCUUUAGCCUGCUUAGACAUAAAGCUCGGAAUUUCUGGCACAUUACCUGAAAACCCAAUUUGGUAAAGCGCAAAAACAGGGUCCGAAAAAUUGGCCCAUGGAGCCCUUCCGGUAGCCAUCUCAAGAACAGUACACCCAAGAGCCCAGAUGUCAGCGGGGAAGCCCUGGUGUUCACCACGCGCCACCUCAGGUGCCAUGUACACAGGAGUACCGGCAAUUGUAGUAUUGGUGGCCAAAACCUCAUCCACCCACCUAGCGCAACCAAAGUCAGCAAGUUUUGCCCCGGCACGGGUGACCAAAAUAUUAUGACCCUUAAUGUCACGAUGUACAAUUCCAUUAGAAUGGAGGUAGUGAAGACCAAGCAAAAUCUGUCGAGUGUAUGACCUGAUCAUGGACUCAUCAAGCCACCCUCCACGCUUGUGCAGUGCAUCCAGAAGGGUGCCUCCAGGUGCGUAUUCCAAGAAAAUAUUGUAUAAGAACUUACCAUUUUCUACUGUAAUGUCAAAGCCUUUGUAUGCAAUAAUUUGAGGAGAAGUUAAUACAGAAAGAAAGCUUUGCUCCUUCUGUAAGAACUCCGAUUGUGAGAGCUCAGCUGACUUGACAGCAAAAGCCUGACCGGACUGAUCGAGCGCAGCGAUUGAGACUGUGGAAGUGGAGCCACGGCCAAUAGUUCGGCCUCUAGUCCAGUCCAUUUUGAAGGGACGAGACAAUUUUAGUUCUGUUAUUAUGGUAUUGGCAGGCAUAAAUAUAUAUACAUAUAGGCGCAAACAAUUAUGUGCUUGUGGAGGGUAUGUUUUGACGUUAAUGCAAGAAAUAAUGCUUUUGGAAGCUUAUUCUUGGGCCAAUGGGCGGCCGCCGUUUCUUUCUCCCUCAAGGCCUGAGGGUUCCAAGUGGCGAAAGGAGGGUGGCUUGAAAGCUUUUGGCCUGACUUGGGAGCGUUUGCUUUAAUGCCAAUAUUGGCUUAGCUUAGCUGUGAAUUAUACUGUCCACAUGCGGCCACGUGAGAAUGUGCAUAGAGUGCGGUGUUGAUGAAGUCUAUGGUACACACAGUACAAUGUAUGGAAUGAUUGAAAAUGGAUAUUUCAAAGUUUAUUUAGGUUUGUGGGUUAGGACUUGGAAUUGAAGUCUUAGGUUUAUGCUUAUUUUACAGUUAGAUAAUGUAAACUUAUGCAAGUAAAUCUCCACUAAUGAUGAGAUUCGUUGAACCUGUAACAGCUUAAGCUAUACCCAAAUGGGACUGCCCUCAACAAUUCAUG